GUCGUCCAUAAAGAUGGCCUCCACGGGGCGGACGACGGGCAACGCAGGGGGACAACUGCGGCUAACAUCUUA
rnacentral:ribozyme from 1 species